GACCCCAUCGUCUAGUGGUUUAGGACUCCAGGUUUUCAUCCUGGCAACAGGGAUUCGACUUCCCUUGGGGUCG
rnacentral:tRNA from 1 species